rnacentral:rRNA from 1 species
AACACAUGCAAGUCGCGGGGCAGCGGGAGCUUAGCUUGCUAGGCUUGCCGGCGACCGGCGCACGGGUGAGUAACGCGUAUCCGACCUUCCGCACACUCCGGGCCAGCCUUCCGAAAGGAAGAUUAAUCCCGGAUGGCAUGACGUGCCUGCAUGGGAACGUCAUUAAAGGGGCAACCCGGUGUGCGAUGGGGGUGCGUUCCAUUAGCUUGUUGGCGGGGUAACGGCCCACCAAGGCGACGAUGGAUAGGGGUUCUGAGAGGAAGGCCCCCCACAUUGGGACUGAGACACGGCCCAAACUCCUACGGGAGGCAGCAGUGAGGAAUAUUGGUCAAUGGGCGCGAGCCUGAACCAGCCAAGUAGCGUGGAGGAUGACUGCCCUACGGGUUGUAAACUCCUUUUAUAAGGGAAUAAAACCUCCCACGUGUGGGAGCUUGUAUGUACCUUAUGAAUAAGCAUCGGCUAACUCCGUGCCAGCAGCCGCGGUAAUACGGAGGAUGCGAGCGUUAUCCGGAUUUAUUGGGUUUAAAGGGAGCGUAGACGGGAUGUCAAGUCAGCUGUGAAAGUUUGCGGCUCAACCGUAAAAUUGCAGUUGAAACUGGCUUUCUUGAGUGCGUUCGAGGCAGGCGGAAUUCGUGGUGUAGCGGUGAAAUGCAUAGAUAU